CUUGUGAAGAAGAUGGCCGACAGAUUCCAAGUGAUACCAUGUGUUCAAAUUCUUUUUUAGCGAUAGAAAAUUUUAUGGGGUCUAAACGUCUUGGACGACAAAACGGCAAGUGAUGAAGUUAAUUUUGGGAAAGAUUUAACGAGAGAAGUGAAUUUAGUUUCGAUAGAGAAGAGUUUGGGUAUUGGUAUAAAAGAUUUUUUGAUGCUACCUAUUGAAGAUAAUUUGGUAGUAUUAUCAAUUAAACGACGAUUUUUGAUGUCGACGAUAAUGUCGAAUUUGUUUAAGAAAUCAGCGCCAAUAAUUGGUUUGUUGACAUCAGCAAUUGUGAAAACAUGUGGAAAAUUUCUUCUUAAUUGCAAUGUUAAUGUUAACAAUUUUUUUCCAUAGGUAAUUAUUGGCGUACCAUUUGCAGCCGUUAAUGUAGAAAUGGUAUCUCUCUUAUGUUUACGAAAGAAUUUAUAAGGCAGCACAGAGAUGUCUGCUCCUGUAUCAAUCAGAAAAUUUAAAUUGGAUUGGUUAUCGUAAACAUAAAGACGAGAACUGAUUUGAUUAAUUAUCGGUUUUUUUGGUUCUGUGAAGAUGAUGAAAGAUUUGUGUCUUUAAAGGAAUUAUAAAA